rnacentral:rRNA from 1 species
GACGAACCGUGCAAACGUUGUUCGGAAUCACUGGGCUUAAAGGGCGCGUAGGCGGGUGGUCAAGUCAGAGGUGAAAUCCCACGGCUCAACCGUGGAAGUGCCCCUGAUACUGGCCGUCUUGAGGGAGAUAGGGGCGUGCGGAACUUUUGGUGGAGCGGUGAAAUGCGUAGAUAUCUGGAGGAACACCGGUGGCGAAGGCGGCAUCCUGGACCAAUUCUGACACUGAGGAGCGAAAGCCAGGGGAGCAAACGGG